AUUUAUUUCAGAUCUGCAGUGUCUAACAUUGUGCUUGGUACAGAAAAACUGAUGCUUCAUUUCCAUCCACCCUCACUCGCUCCUCCCUAUAAGGAGAGAAUAACCUGACUAUUGAUUUGGUAUCUGGAACUGGUCAAGCAAAUCUGGGAAUUGACACUGCUCGCAAUUGCUCUCAAGAUUAUGGGCCAUAUGAAUUGUAGUCAUGAAAAUCUUUUCCCCAUGAAUGAAGCUUGUGUCGGUCCAGUACUGACUAGCAAGACUAUAUGUUGGCUCAGCCACCUUUUAUCUGAAGACCCCCUUGCCAAAAUUCAACUCUGGUCCUCACAACCUUAUCAUCAGGAGGGAACACUGGUGCCACAGAGACACAGGAUUCAGGUCACAAGAUGUUUGCUGGAAUCCAGCCAUCACAUUCAUAUUCCAAGGAGAAAGCAAUACAAUGGAGGAGAGAAAAACUCAUGCCAAAUUAAGGUCACUUAAAGAGAUUUUAUGUAAAUCCCACCCAAAAACAUCUGCUUACAUCUCUCUGUAGUCAUGCCCUCUCUAUUUUAUGCUCCAUGUUACAGUUAAAGCGACCCAGUGUUUUAUGCAUCAAUAACUCCUCCAGCCUCAGAAUUCAGUUCAGACCUUAAAUUGGCAAAUUAAGUCCUUCAUGAUCCAGCUAUUAUCCCUCCAGCUCCAUCUUCUAUACCUCCCUGCUUGUAGGCAAUGUUCCAGACAGAUCAAAUGCUUUCAGUUCUUGAAAAUUGCUACAAUCUCUCUUGUUCCUUUGCCUUGGCAACUACAUCUCCUUCUAUUUGGAAUGUUCUUUCUUCACUUAACUAACUCAUUUUUUUUCGUUUAAGACUACCUGCCAUAUGCCUUUUGGACACUGAAAAGUAUUCCUGAUGCCUGGUCUGGAACAGAUA